rnacentral:rRNA from 1 species
GACGAACGCUGGCGGCGUGCCUAACACAUGCAAGUCGAACGGAAAGGUCCUGCUUGCAGGGUACUCGAGUGGCGAACGGGUGAGUAACACGUGGGUGAUCUGCCUUGCUCUUCGGGAUAAGUCUGGGAAACUGGGUCUAAUUCCGGACAGGAGAUAUAUUUAGUGUGAUGGUUGGAAAGUUUUGUCGGUGUAGGAUGAGGUCGAGACCUAUCAGCUUGUUGGAGGGGUAAUGGCCUACCAAGGCGGCGGCGUGUAGCCGGCCUGAGGGGGUGGCCGGCCACAGUGAGACUGGGAGACGGCCCCGGCUCCGACUGGUGCGAGCAGGGGGAAAGAUUGCACAAGGAGCGCAGGCCUGAUGCUGCGACGCCGCGGAGGGGAUGACGGCCUUCGGGUUGUAAACUCAAUGCGCUAGUAACUAAGCUUUUUGUGACGGUACCUAGAUAAGAAGCACCGGCUAACUACGUG